rnacentral:tRNA from 1 species
GUGGGUAUAGCUCAGUGGUAAGAACGCAUGCUUAGCACGUAUGAGGUCUGGAGUUCAAUCUCCAGUACCACU